CGACUGCUAAUACCGAAUGUGUCGCAAGAUGAAGGAUUUAUUGCCUAGAGAUGAGCUCGCGUCUGAUUAGCUAGUUGGUGGGGUAAAAGCCUACCAAGGCGACGAUCAGUAGCUGGUCUGAGAGGAUGAUCAGCCACACUGGGGCUGAGACACGGCCCAGACUCCUACGGGAGGCAGCAGUGGGGAAUUUUCCGCAAUGGGCGAAAGCCUGACGGAGCAACGUCGCGUGAGGGAGGAAGGCUCUUGGGUUGUAAACCUCUUUUCUCAAGGAAGAUAAUGACGGUACUUGAGGAAUCAGCAUCGGCUAACUCCGUGCCAGCAGCCGCGGUAAUACGGAGGAUGCAAGCGUUAUCCGGAAUAAUUGGGCGUAAAGCGUUCGUAGGUGGUUUUGUAAGUCUGCUGUUAAAGCGUGUAGCUCAACUACAUAUAGGCAGUGGAAACUACAAAACUUGAGUGCGUUCGGGGUAGAGGGAAUUCCUGGUGUAGCGGUGAAAUGCGUAGAGAUCAGGAAGAACACCGGUGGCGAAGGCGCUCUACUAGGCCGCAACUGACACUGAGGGACGAAAGCUAGGGGAGCG
rnacentral:rRNA from 1 species